UUAGAAGUGUGAGUCCAGUCACUGACUGA
rnacentral:piRNA from 1 species